GCCAGGCAUGGUGGCUCAUGCCUGUAAUCCCAGCACUUUGGGAGGCUGAGGCAGGUGGGUCACCUGAGGUCAGGAAUUCAAGAUCAGCCUGGCCAACAUGGUGAAAUCCUGUCUCUA
rfam:Pan troglodytes isolate Yerkes chimp pedigree #C0471 (Clint) chromosome 3, whole genome shotgun sequence.